GGCACGUGGGUGGCUCGGGGAUGGGGGGGGCACUUGUGUGAUAAGGGGAUGGGGGGUGAGCCUGGGACAAGGGGACAAUGGUGGCACAUGAGUGGCACGGGGAUGGGGGUGGCACUUUGGUGACAAGGGGACAAUGGUGGCACAUGGGGGUGGCACCUCUGGGACAAGGGGACAAUGGUGGCACGUGGGUGGCACGGGGAUGGGGGUGGCACCUCUGCGAUGAGGGGAUGGGGGGGUGAGUUGCGGACAUGGGGACAAUGGUGGCACGUGGGUGGCUCGGAGAUGGGGGUGGCACUUUUGUGACAAGGGGACAACGGUGGCACAUGGGGGUGGCACCUCUGGGACAAGGGGACAAUGGUGGCACGUGGGUGGCACGGGGAUGGGGGUGGCACCUCUGGGAUGAGGGGAUGGGGGGGUGAGUUGGGGACAUGGGGACAAUGGUGGCACGUGGGUGGCACGGGGAUGGAGGGGGCACUUUUGUGACAAGGGGACAACGGUGGCACAUGGGGGUGGCACCUCUGGGACAAGGGGACAAUGGUGGCACGUGGGUGGCACGGGGAUGGAGGUGACACUUGCGUGACAAGGGGACAAUGGUGGCUCAUGGAUGGCACGGGGAUGGGGGUGGACAUGGCGAUGAUGGUGAUGGUGAUGAUAGUGAUGAUGGUGAUGGUGGUGAUGGUGGCGAUGAUGGUGAUGGUGCUGGUGUUGGUGGUGGUGUUGAUGGUGCUGGUGUUGGUGAUGAUGGUGAUGGUGAUGAUGGUGGUACUGGUGAUGUUGAUGAUGGUGGUGGUGUUGGUGACGAUGAUGGUGCUGGUAUUGGGGAUGAUGAUGAUGAUGCUGGUGAUGAUGGUGCUGGUGCUGGUGAUGUUGAUGAUGGUGGUGGUGCUGAUAGUGGUGGUGUUGAUGGUGGUGGUGUUGGUGAUGACAAUGGUGGUGCUGGUGUUGGUGAUGAUGAUGAUGAUGACGGUGAUGAUGGUGAUGAUGGUGCUGGUGUUGGUGGUGAUGAUGAUGAUGAUGGUGUUGGUGAUGAUGAUGGUGAUGAUGGUGAUGAUGGUGCUGGUGUUGGUGAUGAUGAUGAUGGUGGUGCUGGUGUUGGUGAUGGUGGUGGUGCUGGUGUUGAUGACUGUGUUGGCGAUGGUGAUGAUGAUGGUGAUGGUGGUGCUGGUGUUGAUGGUGAUGAUGAUGGUGGUGAUGAUGAUGAUGGUGUUGGUGGUGGUGGUGAUGAUGGUGAUGGUGUUGGUGGUGGUGGUGGUGGUGGUGGUGGUGGUGAUGAUGGUGUUGGCAAUGAUGAUGAUGGUGAUGGUGAUGAUGGUGCUACUGGCAAUGUUGAUGAUGGUGGUGGUGUUGGUGAUGAUGAUGGUGAUGCUGGUGUUGGUGAUGAUGAUGAUGAUGAUGGUGACGAUGGUGCUGGUGUUGAUGAUGAUGAUGGUGCUGGUAUUGGGGAUGAUGAUGAUGAUGCUGGUGAUGAGGGUGGUGGCGCUGGUGAUGAUGAUGAUGGUGCUGGUGUUGAUGGUGCUGGUGUUGGUGAUGAUGAUGGUGCUGGUGUUGGUGAUGAUGAUGAUGGUGCAGGUGUUGGUGAUGAUGAUGGUGGUGCUGGUGUUGGGUCCUUACCGCGUCUGCACGGUGAAGCAGUUGGCUCUUCCCACCAGGCCGCUCUCCAGGCCGGGCCCGUGGGCGCUGACGCGCGUGGGAUCGCAACCCUCGGCCACGGCCACACGGAACGGGCUCUGCGGCACCGCCACCUCCUGGAACGUCACCUCCACCACGUGCAGCCCUGCACGAGGGACACGACGCGGCGUCACCGGGGAUGGGGGGCACACCAACCACCUGGGGCACGCUGGGGUCCCAAGGGGGGGAUACGGGGUCCCAAGGGGGAGAUUUGGGGUCCUAAGA
rnacentral:lncRNA from 1 species